CCCAGGAUGGUGUAACGGUAACACACCCGCUCGAAUUACGAUGAAGUUGGUGAGGUUUUAGCGGGAGAUGCUUGUUCAAUUCAAGGUCAGGACA